rnacentral:rRNA from 1 species
UACGAAGGGGGCUAGCGUUGUUCGGAAUUACUGGGCGUAAAGCGUUUGUAGGCGGUUAUACAAGUCAGUGGUGAAAGCCCAGGCUUAACCUUGGAAUUGCCAUUGAAACUGUAUAGCUAGAGAGUGUUAGAGGAAAGUGGAAUUCCUAGUGUAGGAGUGAAAUCCGUAGAGAUUAGGAGGAAUAUCGAUGGCGAAGGCAGCUUUCUGGGACAUUUCUGACGCUGAGAAACGAAAGCGA